rnacentral:rRNA from 1 species
UGGGGAAUAUUGCGCAAUGGGCGAAAGCCUGACGCAGCGACGCCGCGCGAGGGAUGAAGGUUUUCGGAUCGUAAACCUCUGUCAGAAGGGAAGAAACCGCACUGUGCUAAUCAGCAGUGCCUUGACGGUACCUUCAAAGGAAGCACCGGCUAACUCCGUGCCAGCAGCCGCGGUAAUACGGAGGGUGCAAGCGUUAAUCGGAAUUACUGGGCGUAAAGCGCACGUAGGCUGCUUUGUAAGUCAGGGGUAAAAUCCCACGGCUCAACCGUGGAACUGCCGUUGAUACUGCUUAGCUUGAAUCCGGGAGAGGGUGGCGGAAUUCCAGGUGUAGGAGUGAAGUCCGUAGAUAUCUAGAGGAACAUCAGUGGCGAGGGCGGCCACCUGGACCGGUAUUGACGCUGGGGUGCGAAAGCGUGGGGAGCAAACAGG